GUCUCUGUGGCACAAUCGGUUAGUGCAUUUGACUGUUAACCAAAAGGUUGGCGGUUCAAGCCCGCCCAGGAAUG
rnacentral:tRNA from 1 species